rnacentral:lncRNA from 1 species
CACAUUGCAAUUCACCAUGAAAAUUCACCUAAGAGUUAUGUUGUCUUCAUAUGAAAUAGAAUUAAAGUGAAUGAAUGAAGACUACAGUACCCUGAACUGAGGUCCUGGGAUUAACUAAAGAACAAGAGCUUGUAAAGCCAACAGUUGAGGUUCUUCAGUGUAUAUUAUAUAUUGCUAUCUCAUCAGAUAAACUUAAAAGGAUCUCUGUCAUCUUCUCCUAGUGCUCCCUGGAGAAUAGAUGGUCAAAAAGUGAACUGUUUUUCUGGUAGCAUAUCACAUCCAAUUCUUGAGUCUGUGCACUGCCUACACAACCAUUGCUGUUGCUUCAAACAAGCAGUCCUAAAUUGUCGAUAA